CAGCCGCCACGGUAAUACGUAGGGGGCAAGCGUUAUCCGGAUUUACUGGGUGUAAAGGGAGCGCAGACGGCAGUGCAAGUCUGAAGUGAAAGGCGUGGGCUCAACCCAUGAACUGCUUUGGAAACUGUAUAGCUUGAGUGUCGGAGGGGUAAGCGGAAUUCCUAGUGUAGCGGUGAAAUGCGUAGAUAUUAGGAGGAACACCGGAGGCGAAGGCGGCUUACUGGACGACAACUGACGUUGAGGCUCGAAGGCGUGGGGAGCAAACAGGAUUAGAUACCCGUGUAGUCCCUGUCUCUUAUAC
rnacentral:rRNA from 1 species